AGUCAUAUGCUUGUCUCAAAGAUUAAGCCAUGCAUGUCUCAGUACAAGCCGCACUAAGGUGAAACCGCGAAAGGCUCAUUAAAUCAGUUAUGGUUCCUUAGAUCGUACCCACAUUUACUUGGAUAACUGUGGUAAUUCUAGAGCUAAUACAUGCAAACAGAGCUCCGACCGGAGACGGGAGGAGUGCUUUUAUUAGAUCAAAACCAAUCGGCGGCGGUGGCGUUCGCGUCGCCGUUCGCCGCUCAACCUGGUGACUCUGAAUAACUUUACGCUGAUCGCACGGUCUCGCACCGGCGACGCAUCUUUCAAAUGUCUGCCUUAUCAACUGUCGAUGGUAGGUUCUGCGCCUACCAUGGUCGUAACGGGUAACGGGGAAUCAGGGUUCGAUUCCGGAGAGGGAGCGU
rnacentral:rRNA from 1 species